rnacentral:rRNA from 1 species
UACGGAGGUGGCAAGCGUUGCUCGGAAUCACUGGGCGUAAAGGGCGCGUAGGCGGGGGAGGUAAGUCGGGUGUGAAAUCCCUCGGCCCAACCGAGGAACUGCGCCCGAGACUGCUUCUCUUGAGUCCCGGAGAGGAAGAUGGAAUUCCCGGUGUAGCGGUGGAAUGCGUAGAGAUCGGGAAGAACAUCGGUGGCGAAGGCGGCUACCUGGACGGGUACUGACGCUGAUGCGCGAAAGCUAGGGGAGCAAACAGG